AUGCGAACUUGCCCUUCACAGGAUGUCGCUGUGCUUUCAGAGCCCACUAGGUGGUGCGUGAGCUGCGGCGAUGGUGACCAGCUGUGCUGGACCAGUCACCGCCCGCCUCCCAGGACCCCCCUCAGGCCAGAGGCCCCCAGCUCACAAGCCGGCCCUGAAUCAUCCCUGUUCCUGGGCCCGUCUCCACGUUCUUCCUCUGGGAAAGCAGGGCCCAGGCUUCUGCUCCCUCUUCAAUACAGCACACAUGAACACUUUGGGAGUGUCACCUUAAAAAUAAAAAACACAACGUGAGAGUUGAGAGUUAAGUUUUACUUGGGACAGAAUGAGGACUAGAACCUGGGUGGCAGCAUUCAGAGAGACCCAAGAAACUACUCCAAAAAACUGGGACCUCAGUGAGUCCGGACACCAGGUGAGUGAUUCUAAUUAAAAAACUCUGGGUUCAAGUCCCAGUCCGGGUUCUGGCUGGGUUCUCAUCACAGAGGUGUUUUGGUUUCAGAAACAACCUAAAUUUCCAUGAACAGAUAAAUGGAUUUGCAAAGUGAUGCAUACACACAAUGGAAUAUUAUUCAGCCUUCAAAAAGGAGGAAAUCCUACAGUAUGUGACAACAUAGAUGACCCUUAGGAUAUUAGCCGGUCACAGAAGGGCAAAUACUGCAUGAUUCUACUGUGGUCAAAUAUUCCACUCUGUCCACGGGUGCUGAAUAGGAAGAUGGAGACAGAGUUUUGGGAAAAAAUAGCUUUAUUGCUUUACCAUUCAAAGGAGACCCCAGCAGACUCCUAUCCUAAAGACCGUGCCCUCCCUUGGGAGAGAUUAGGAAGAUUAGGAAGUGGUUUUAUAGUUCGGAGUAGGAAAUAGGGCCACAGAUAAGGAUCAGGGCAGGUGCAAGCUUUUAUUCUUCAUCAAAGCUGGUGCUUAGUGGCCCCAGGAUGGGUCCUGGUGGCUCUCCUCUCUGGUUUUCAUUUGUUGGGGGUUUAGUUCUGCAGAAGAGCUAAAAGAUAGCGUUAUGUAUAUUCCUGGAAGAGGAGCCAGGACUCCACCCCGAGGCUGCACUGUUGUUUCUUGACUGUUCCUCCCUUGUCUCUGCAUCCCCUCCCUUCCCCCAUUAGCUCCUGUUCGAACCUGCCCUCAGGG
rnacentral:lncRNA from 1 species